rnacentral:tRNA from 1 species
AGAGGCUUAGGAUAAUAAGACCAAGAGCCUUCAAAGCCCUAAGUGAGAGUGAAAAUCUCCCAGCCUCUG